GGAAACCACACCAUGGCCAAGUAAGCAGCACCUUCCAGUCAAGAACCUGGAGAUUCUCAAGAUGAGCAAAGGAGCCUUGUGCAACUGCCACGCAGAUGGACAGCCUCCCUAUUAAGGCUACUUACAGGGUAUUUAAGGCUCAGCCUCUCCAGUUCUGUCACCUCAGGAAUAAAGUUGAACAAAACAAAAAGGAGACCACUUCUGUUUUUAAGGAUCCUGCA
rnacentral:lncRNA from 1 species